UUCUUCGGAUUGAAGGAUCUUGUGACUAGUGGCGGACGGGUGAGUAACGCGUGGGCAACCUGCCUCACACUGGGGGACGAACAGUUGGAAACGACUGCUAAUACCGCAUAAGCGCACACUGCUGCAUGGCAGAGUGUGAAAAACUCCGGUGGUGUGAGAUGGGCCCGCGUUGGAUUAGGUAGUUGGUGAGGUAACGGCCCACCAAGCCGACGAUCCAUAGCCGACCUGAGAGGGUGACCGGCCACAUUGGGACUGAGACACGGCCCAAACUCCUACGGGAGGCAGCAGUGGGGAAUAUUGCACAAUGGGGGAAACCCUGAUGCAGCCGACGCCGCGUGAGUGAAGAAGUAUUUCGGUAUGUAAAGCUCUAUCAGCAGGGAAGAAGAUGACGGUACCUGCACAAGAAGCCCCGGCUAACUACGUGCCAGCAGCUGC
rnacentral:rRNA from 1 species